ACCAGUGAUGAUGAAAUCCAAUUAAAUGAGGUGUAACGGAUCUGAGUCCCUGUUUGACAGGGGGAACCUCUUAGUGAAAUUUCAUCAUUUGAUAUUAUUGGAUGUAACUGAGGU
rfam:Beta vulgaris subsp. vulgaris chromosome 5, whole genome shotgun sequence.